AUGGGAGCUCCUCGUUUCACUUUCAGUCUCUGCAUAUGGGUGAUGAUGAUGCAGGAUGUGUCUUUCUCUGACAUACUUCACAAAACACCACACCCUCCAGGUCCUGGUUGGAUGGAGGACCUGAUAGGCUCCCCCUCCCUCUCUCCAGGAAGCCCCUGUGCAGUUCCAUUCCCUGAGGUUUGGAUCAUCUGUGAGGUUUGGAUCAUCUGUGAGCCAAAGGUCUUUCUGCUCCACCCUCAGCUGUUCCUGGCGGCCAUGGUGUCACAGCCAUUUCUGAAUGUUGGCAUCUUGAGUUUUCACCUUCACCCCAUCCUGCUUCCUUUGCUUUUUGCUCAGUUUGUCAGCUCUUCCCUCAAACCCUCUCUUCUCUCACAGGUGACUCAACACAGGGAGAAGAAACCAGGCUGGGCGGCCACACCCUGUUGGACAUCUCCCUCCCUCUCUAUCCAAGGUCCUGGCUCACAAUCCAGCCAUCUCUACAUUUCCUGAGAGACCCUGUCACCAAGUUUCUUUGGGGGGGGGGUGAGGGGAGGUGGGGACACUAGUUUGCCUUCUACCAAUAAUUAGGAACUUUUUCCACUUUGAAUACAUUAGAAGCCAAUUCCAGUAUAAACACGCCUUGACUUAUCUUUGCUAUUGAUUCAAACCCAGGCCACCCUUUCCCUGAGAGUUAAGGAGAAAAGCCUUGCAAGAGCCCCUCAGGCCCCCGCCUGCACUGUGGGUGGGAAGGGAACUUGGUGCUGCCACGACAGAAACCAGUGUGGGGGUUCCUUGAAAAAGUGAAAGUAGGCAUUCCCACUGUGACUCAGCAGAAACAACCUGGGAUAGAGUCCCUGAGGACCCACCUUGGAUCCCUGGGCUCACUCAGUGGGGUGAAGGAUCCGGGUUUGCCACAAGCUGUAGUGUAGGUCACAGAUGUGGC
rnacentral:lncRNA from 1 species